AACGAACGCUGGCGGCAUGCCUAACACAUGCAAGUCGAACGAGACCUUCGGGUCUAGGGGCGCACGGGUGCGUAACGCGUGGUAACCUGCCCUUAGGUUCGGAAUAACUCCCCGAAAGGGGUGCUAAUACCGGAUAAUGUCUUCGGACCAAAGAUUUAUCGCCUUUGGAUGGGCCCGCGUUGGAUUAGCUAGUUGGUAGGGUAAAAGCCUACCAAGGCGACGAUCCAUAGCUGGUCUGAGAGGAUGAUCAGCCACACUGGGACUGAGACACGGCCCAGACUCCUACGGGAGGCAGCAGUGGGGAAUAUUGGACAAUGGGCGAAAGCCUGAUCCAGCAAUGCCGCGUGAGUGAUGAAGGCCUUAGGGUUGUAAAGCUCUUUUACACGGGAUGAUAAUGACAGUACCGGGAGAAUAAGCUCCGGCUAACUCCGUG
rnacentral:rRNA from 1 species